rnacentral:rRNA from 1 species
UGCAGUCGACGCUUCUUUCCUCCCGAGUGCUUGCACUCAAUUGGAAAGAGGAGUGGCGGACGGGUGAGUAACACGUGGGUAACCUACCCAUCAGAGGGGGAUAACACUUGGAAACAGGUGCUAAUACCGCAUAACAGUUUAUGCCGCAUGGCAUAAGAGUGAAAGGCGCUUUCGGGUGUCGCUGAUGGAUGGACCCGCGGUGCAUUAGCUAGUUGGUGAGGUAACGGCUCACCAAGGCCACGAUGCAUAGCCGACCUGAGAGGGUGAUCGGCCACACUGGGACUGAGACACGGCCCAGACUCCUACGGGAGGCAGCAGUAGGGAAUCUUCGGCAAUGGACGAAAGUCUGACCGAGCAACGCCGCGUGAGUGAAGAAGGUUUUCGGAUCGUAAAACUCUGUUGUUAGAGAAGAACAAGGACGUUAGUAACUGAACGUCCCCUGACGGUAUCUAACCAGAAAGCCACGGCUAACUACGUGCCAGCAGCCGCGGUAGUACGUAGGUGGCAAGCGUUGUCCGGAUUUAUUGGGCGUAAAGCGAGCGCAGGCGGUUUCUUAAGUCUGAUGUGAAAGCCCCCGGCUCAACCGGGGAGGGUCAUUGGAAACUGGGAGACUUGAGUGCAGAAGAGGAGAGUGGAAUUCCAUGUGUAGCGGUGAAAUGCGUAGAUAUAUGGAGGAACACCAGUGGCGAAGGCGGCUCUCUGGUCUGUAACUGACGCUGAGGCUCGAAAGCGUGGGGAGCAAACAGGAUUAGAUACCCUGGUAGU